UAAGACUGCCUGCCCUGUUGCCCCAGGCACAGAGUCCGUUCUGCGAAGAAAGGCCACUGCCUGGCCCAUUCUGAUGUCAGAUAAGUUUCCUGCUGGGGUCUGAGGCCCUGAUUGUGUAAUUAGGAUCCAAAGAGUGUCUGUCUUUCCUGGGAUGGUCCCAACACUGGCCCUGAUCCUCCCCACCCAGGGGCCAAUCACAGGCCCUACUGGAGGCCCGCCCUUGUCCAGGAGGCUCUCUUGCCUGCCCUCUGCCCUCUCCAGUUCCCGGCCCCAGCUUUUACCUGCUUGGCAUUGCCAACCCAGAAGGUCACGGAGUGGAAAUGGAGGAAUCGGCCCCUCGCAGGCUGCAGAAGGAGAGAAGGGGAGAGGCUAAGUCUCUGGAGAUUUUAUUUUUCAGGCUCUGUGCUGACAGCAGAGAGCCCGACACGGGGCUCGAACUCGCGAACUGUGAGAUCAUGACCUGAACUGAAGUCUGAUGCUUAACUGCUUGAGAUACCCAGGCACCCUGAGACUGAGUUUUUAACUUAAGAAAAGAUCUUUAGCUGAGGGAAAGGGAUCUGUCUCCAAGUUGUCACCUUGGAAGGCAGAGCACCUUAAAAUAAUAAUAAUAAUAAUAAUAAUAAUAAUAAUAAUAAUAACAAAAACGCCGAUUUUCUGGUCACUGAUUUAUGUGCCAGGCACCGUGUUAAGCACAUUAUAUACUGUGCUCUUUACUCAUUAAAUCCCCAAAUAACCCUCAGAGGUAAGUGCUAUCGACAUCCCCAUUUUACAGAUUAGAAAACAGAGGCUCAGAGAGGUGUCUGAGCACAGCAAAAAAGUGACAGAACUGAGAAAUGAACCAGGCCUGACUCUCUCCAAAGCCUACAAGCUAGCCACUUCCAGCCAUGCUGUCAUUACUCAGAUAUUUUGGGAAGUGCUUUGGGAAUGACCUCUGAGCCCAUUUUCAAGCAGCAGGAAAAAACAAACAAACAAAAAUCCAGUCUCCUGGUUGUACUCAUUAAGACCUGGAGAAGUUCCUCUUCAUUUGGCCUCUGGCAGAGUGGGAAGGGCAGGCGUGGCAGGAGGCCAGGGUGGGCCCAGGAGGGAGCUAGGGGACCUGUGGGCAUGCGCAGGGGCUCCGUUGGCGGGCUGGAGAGGAAGGCUUUGUUCAGGCAGAGGUGGGUGCCCCGUCACUGAGCAACCUUCGGUAAGUCACUUCUCUCUGAACCUCAGUUUCCGUGGCGUCCCGAUGGAGUGGGGGCUGGCAUGUGUGGUGAAAGAAUUCACCCAAGUCAGAACAAAGGAGAUGGAGAUUUAUUGAAUACACUGCAAGAGAGCAGCGGGCAGGACAGCAAAGGAGAGACUGUCUGCCUGGUCUGCCACCAGGCGGUAUUGUGGGGCCACAGUUACAGGGUGGGAGGAGGAGAUAUGGGAACGUAUGGGAACUUUUUUUUUUUUUUUUUUUUUUGGUAACUGUGUAAAUGGCCCAUUGGUUAGUUAAGGCCUGUGGCUAUUUUAAGAAGAGUUGCCUAAUGAGCCUCCUUCAUUGGGGGUGGGGGGUGGGGGGCUGUGGGCUAAUUUACCUCACUCAGGUUUCCAGUGCUCAAGCCUGUUGCCUGAAAGUGGCCCUGAUCAUCCCCCCACCCCGACAGGUCGGCAAUGACAAAUCCUUGGCAUUUGAGUGGAAGUCUCAUCUUCAACGGCUUCUUCCUGCUGAAUGAGGGGUGUAGAGAUGUCCCUACGUAUGGAUCAACAUUGGUCGGUUGGGAAUGUGUAUGUUGGGAUUAUGAAAGGCAGAGGCGGCUGUCUCCGAGGCAGAUAGCACGUGUGGGUUUUCCCGAGUGGAAAGGAUCACCUGUCAGCUCAAACAUGUGGCCGUGAAGGAAUCUCGGCACCGGGCGGAGAGAGAUCUGGAAAAUAAGAUGAUGAUUAUUAGGAUGAAAAAGAGAAGCCCUAAUUAAACGACUUUUGACCCAAA